CCCCGCCCCCGCCGCCUCCGCGUGGUGCGCUCUGCGCAGGCGCGAGCCCGGGCGGCCGGGGUGGCUGCAGAGCUCGCGGUGUGGUAGGUGCCGGGCUUUCAGGAGAUGGGCACCGAGACCAGGCGAGGCGUUGGGGGGCCGGGGCCAGGGCGCGGGGUCCGGGUCUGCGGAUGCGCACGGACACACCUUGAAUCUUUAUGUGGACCUCCGAGAGUUUUUCAGAACUAGAGAAUGGAGUUAACAAAAGAGUAUCUGUCGUCAGCCCAAGACUUAAUCCCAAAUCUUGCCACCCGUAGGACUGGGGACAACUCCUGGGUAUCCUUUUGCCCCCAGUGUCUUCCAAAGUUCCUCCACAUUUUGCCUGGUCGCCAGUAACCCUUCGUUCUCUCUGGGCACUACAUGGGUUCUUUGGCGCGACCUGGAGGACUCACCUUGCCUUUGGUGGGCCGGCACUACCGGCCUCUUCUAGAAGGUAAGGAACUGGACUGUCCUCCUGUCUGACAAUCAGAAUUUCCCUUGAUGGAUAGUUGAUAGUUUGGAUGAUGAAAGGCAAAGGGUGUGUGUAUUAAGCGGGGUCACUUCUGUUUCAAACUCUUUCUAUACCCUUUUGGGCCCAAAUCAGAAUCUCCUAGCUUUUUUUUUUUUUAGAUAUUGAUGAACCUUUAUUUGUAUGAGGUGCUGAGGAUCGAACCCAGUGCUUCAUGCAUGCUAGGCAAGUGCUCUACCAUUGAGCACAACCCCAGCCCCAGAACCUCAGUGCCCUAGUGCCAGCUUCAGCUCUUUCCUCCUGGAAAUACCUCUGCAGGCCAGCUGUGGGGCUUCCACUGUUCUGAAAGAAUACCCAUCCUGUUUGCUUGCUGGCUUGCCUGCAGAGAACUCCCAUGUUCUCAGCAAGGCAGAAUCUACUAUGCUAGUGAAGCCAGAUUUAAAGUUAGGUAGUCAGUGUAGUUAGAUAAAUCGGGUCUAAUAUCGAGUGAAAUCUAAAAUGGAGACCAUGCGGAGAAUGACUCAGGGAAAACACAGGACAACUCAUGGAAAAGGCCCUAGGCCAAAGUCCACCUCAAAGAAAUGUUAAUGAACAGCCCCCAGCAAAAAGGUGCUGACUCAGAAGUCCUUCCUGACCAGAUUACUUCUUUGGCCCACCUGUGUCCCACCCCUCGGGCCUUCCCACCUACAUUCCAUCACUGAAAGAACUAUAAAAAGGGGAGACAACAUCCCUUCCACGGAUUCCACCUCUUGGGUACCCUUCUUCCUCCGGGAGAAGUCUUUUCUGCUGUCCUUUAAUAAACUUCUAAUUUCUACUCUGACCUUGCCUCGGCGUGCUUCUUUGGUGUUAUUCUUCAACAUUGGGGAAGCAAGGACUCGUCACCGGUCAACAGCGG
rnacentral:lncRNA from 1 species